rnacentral:rRNA from 1 species
GUCGAAAAUGUUGUCUCUCUUGAGUGGAUCCUGAGUACGACGGAGCACGUGAAAUUCCGUCGGAAUCUGGGAGGACCAUCUCCUAAGGCUAAAUACUCUCUAGUGACCGAUAGUGAACCAGUACCGUGAGGGAAAGGUGAAAAGCACCCCGGAAGGGGAGUGAAAUAGAACCUGAAACCGUGUGCUUACAAGUAGUCAGAGCCCGUUAAUGGGUGAUGGCGUGCCUUUUGUAGAAUGAACCGGCGAGUUACGAUUUGAUGCAAGGUUAAGCAGUAAAUGUGGAGCCGUAGCGAAAGCGAGUCUGAAUAGGGCGUUUAGUAUUUGGUCGUAGACCCGAAACCAGGUGAUCUACCCUUGGUCAGGUUGAAGUUCAGGUAACACUGAAUGGAGGACCGAACCGACUUACGUUGAAAAGUGAGCGGAUGAACUGAGGGUAGCGGAGAAAUUCCAAUCGAACCUGGAGAUAGCUGGUUCUCUCCGAAAUAGCUUUAGGGCUAGCCUCAAGUGAUGAUUAUUGGAGGUAGAGCACUGUUUGGACGAGGGGCCCCUCUCGGGUUACCGAAUUCAGACAAACUCCGAAUGCCAAUUAAUUUAACUUGGGAGUCAGAACAUGGGUGAUAAGGUCCGUGUUCGAAAGGGAAACAGCCCAGACCACCAGCUAAGGUCCCAAAAUAUAUGUUAAGUGGAAAAGGAUGUGGCGUUGCCCAGACAACUAGGAUGUUGGCUUAGAAGCAGCCAUCAUUUAAAGAGUGCGUAAUAGCUCACUAGUCGAGUGACACUGCGCCGAAAAUGUACCGGGGCUAAACAUAUUACCGAAGCUGUGGAUUGUCCUUUGGACAAUGGUAGGAGAGCGUUCUAAGGGCGUUGAAGCAUGAUCGUAAGGACAUGUGGAGCGCUUAGAAGUGAGAAUGCCGGUGUGAGUAGCGAAAGACGGGUGAGAAUCCCGUCCACCGAUUGACUAAGGUUUCCAGAGGAAGGCUCGUCCGCUCUGGGUUAGUCGGGUCCUAAGCUGAGGCCGACAGGCGUAGGCGAUGGAUAACAGGUUGAUAUUCCUGUACCACCUAUA